rnacentral:tRNA from 1 species
GGAGAGGUGCAGGAGUGGCUGAACUGGCACGCCUGGAAAGCGUGUGUACCGGGAACGGUACCGGGGGUUCGAAUCCCCCUCUCUCCG